rnacentral:SRP_RNA from 1 species
GUGCGGGCUAGCCUGGGGGGCUAAGCGUCCUCUGUAACUCGAAAUCGUAUACGCGAGAGGCGAAGCUUGAGGAAGGCUCUGGAGCUGUCAGUUUCAGCUUGAAGUCCUACGAAGAAGCAUCGUCCUGCGGGGUUGACGGUGGUAUGGUGGCUGGCUGGAGGGCUUGCCGUCAUGCCUUUGUCAUGGAUACUGGUUUAGGCCCGGAAGGGAGCGGACUCACCGUGGACGCUGGCGCUCGGAGGGUAGCGAUGCGGAGAAAGACUUUGAGGGUCUGGCUGAUGGCGAAGGUGUCGACCAAGAGCGUGCCCGCAC